UUUAAAAUACUGUAUUAAUAGUAUGUUUGGGUAUGUGCAUAUGAAGAGCAAUGAUGGGGGAUUGUGGGUAGGAGGAGAAGAGACAUGUUCUGU